CCAUCUAACCGACAUACUCCUUCCCUCAAUCACAAAUAAAAUCACGCCUCACACAUCUUCCUCCUUCCCUCACUCACGGCUGCUAUCUUACUCCUUUCUCCCUCACUCACGGCUGACCCACGAACACCACCAUCAACCGGCAGCCCGGCCACGAGCUCCACCACCAACAGCAACCACUUCUCCUCCUUCCUUUAUUGUUGUUCAAGAUUGCAAGGUCCUUCAAUGAUGAUUGAGGGCCUAUCUCUUACAGGGGAUAGAUCCACUUUCAGAUUGCCAUCUUUAGUGCAGAUGGAUGUGCUGCUCAUUUAUGUGUCAUGUGCUGCGAUAGCGAGGACAUCGUUUUCGGAAGGUUAACUUAUAAUGACAUUUUGACAAAUCAUGUCUUUUUAAAUAAAAAUAGAUAUUUUAUAAUGUAUUAAUUUAGUUUAUAGCUGGGUUGUAAGUAAUUGUAUUACAGUUUUGUAAAGUUUUUAAAUACUCUGAUAUUGGUUGUUGUGGCUAUCGACCCACAGGUCGGAUUUAGCCCAAACUUCUAU